rnacentral:rRNA from 1 species
CCUACGGGAGGCUGCAGUGGGGAAUAUUGCGCAAUGGGCGAAAGCCUGACGCCGCGACGCCACGUGAGGGAUGAAGGUCUUCGGAUCGUAAACCUCUGUCAGCAGGGAAGAACGGUCACUGUGCUAAUCAGCAGUGAAUUGACGGUACCUGCAAAGGAAGCACCGGCUAACUCCGUGCCAGCAGCCGCGGUAAUACGGAGGGUGCGAGCGUUAAUCGGAAUUACUGGGCGUAAAGCGCUCGUAGGCGGUAUGUCAAGUCAAGGGUGAAAUCCCCGCGCUCAACGUGGGAACUGCCUUUGAAACUGGCAAACUGGAGUGUGUGAGAGGAUAGUGGAAUUCCAGGGGUAGGAGUGAAAUCCGUAGAUAUCUGGAGGAACAUCAGUGGCGAAGGCGACUAUCUGGAACAUAACUGACGCUGAGGAGCGAAAGCGUGGGUAGCAAACAGGAUUAGAUACCCCUGUAGUC